GGUAGGAUUGCCUGCAGGGGGCGCUCCAUAAUCCCAACAUGAUCUCAGUGACGUUUUGAAGGUCACAUGACCUGCAGUACAUGACACCUGAGCUGCUCUGACUGAUCCAGUGAACAUGUUCGUGUUCAGAAACUGUCUUCCUGCUUUUUUGCUGCUGCUUCUGCAAACGUCAGAUUCAUCUGCAGGUAAUGACGUGACCCAAACCCCCCUGCUGUGGACGGAGGAAGGCGGCAGCGCCACCAUGGAGUGCAGCCACACCAAAGAUCACGGACACUUCCAGAUCUACUGGUACAGACAGCUGCCUGGAAGAACCAUGGAGCUGGUCGUCUUCACGUCUACAGCUCAAAGAGGAGGAGAGCACGACUUUGGAGCUUUCAGCAAAGAAAGGUUCUCAGCCACCAAGACAGAAGCUGAGAGAGGAACGUUCACAGGUGCAGCCUGAAGAUAAAGGCUUGUAUUUCUGUGCUGUGAGUCAACACAGUGAUACAAACCCAUGAGAGAGCUGAACUAAAACCUCUCAGCUGAUCCCAUCAAUGCUGUCCUCUAGAGGGCGCUAAAGAGUAAGAUCAGCAGGUGAUGCAGAAGCGUUUCCAGCUGGUGUCUCCUCCCCUCUGAGCUGAUCUCCUGUCAUGUUCAUGCCGUCAGUCCACACUGAGACACAG